UACGUAGGGGGCAAGCGUUGACCGGAUUUAUUGGGCGUAAAGAGCGUGUAGGCGGCUUGGUAGGUCUCGCGUCAAAACCUGAGGCUCAACCUCAGUUCGCGUGGGAAACCACCUAGCUAGAGUCCGGAAGAGGAGAACGGAAUUCCCAGUGUAGCGGUGAAAUGCGUAGAUAUCAAGAGGAACACCUGAGGCGAAGGCGGGUUGCUAGGCUGACACUGACGCUGACAGCGCGAAAGCCAGGGGAGCAAACGGG
rnacentral:rRNA from 1 species